rnacentral:rRNA from 1 species
UCGGGAAUUUUGGGCAAUGGGCGAAAGCCUGACCCAGCAACGCCGCGUGAGGGAUGAAGUAUUUCGGUAUGUAAACCUCGAAAGAAUGGGAAGAAUAAAUGACGGUACCAUUUAUAAGCUCCGGCUAACUACGUGCCAGCAGCCGCGGUAAUACGUAGGGAGCAAGCGUUGUUCGGAUUUACUGGGCGUAAAGGGCGCGUAGGCGGCGCGGUAAGUCACUUGUGAAAUCUCUGAGCUUAACUCAGAACGGCCAAGUGAUACUGCUGUGCUAGAGUGCGGAAGAGGCAACCGGAAUUCUUGGUGUAGCGGUGAAAUGCGUAGAUAUCAAGAGGAACACCUGAGGCGAAGGCGGGUUGCUGGGCCGACACUGUCGCUGAUGCGCGAAAGCCAGGGGAGCAAACG